CUAGAAUAAUGUUAAUAGACAUCAUGUCAUUUACAUCAGUUAAGAUUUCACCCGAUGUAAAUUAUUUUUCUAACAUCAGUUCUUGAAAAACCGAUUUCUAUUGAUACAAUUAACAUCGUUUUUUAUUUUCAACCGAUGUCUACAUUUUUUUUUCAAAAUUUUGAAAAAACGCGGAAAUAACUAAGUACAAAAUUUUGGAAGCGCGGAACCAAAAUUUCAUUCCCCCCAAGGCUUAGUCAGUUUUCCCACGACUAUGUUUUCCUACCCUUCGUCAAUUUUCAUUCUCAAAACCUAACUACCGCGACAGCCGUCCAGCAACCAACAUCCUCUUCCUCCUUCUCCGCCUCCUACCGUCCCCCUCCUUCUUCUCCUCCUUGUCCGCCUCUGACCGUUCUCCAGUUUGAAGCCGAAGCCGGAGCUCCCAAUCAGCAAGGACGAGAUCCGAAGACACAGACCAUCCUUAUCACCCCCAAAACACAUAUUGCAGUCGCCGUCUCUUCUUUCUCUCUCCAUGGGCCUCUCCAUCUCAGCCCCUCUCUUCGACCAUCGAGGCGUCGACGGCCCUCGCUCUCCUCGUCAAUAACUCGCUUUUGAGCCCUACAAGGUCAGCAAAGUUGAUCUUCUUGCCCAAAGUUGCUCUUUAUGGCUCUUAAUUUGGGGGUGCUCGGCACUUGGUGUCUGGAAGCUUAACACAUUGGGGUUCCUUCCUACACAUGCAUCCGAUUGGGUUUCAUCCUUACCCCCUGCUCAGGUUAAGAGCAAGCUUAAAGGUCACUCUAAAAGGAUAACUGGCCUAGCAUUCUCUCAUGUAUUAAAUGUGCUAGUUUCAUCAGGAGCAGAUGCUCAGAGAUGGCAGAGGAAUAAAAUGGUUAGAGCAAUCUGCUGCUGAGAAGGUAAGGUUAAUGAGAGAAAAUCUGAACGUGGUUAAGCCAGGUCAAAGAGGUUGAAAACAAAUGAGGUCUAUAAAUUUCAACUCUCUAGUUUUACGGCUCUCGUUCUACAUCAAUUUAUGCUCUCUGUUUUACAAAUCUUGUUACAAAGCUAAAGAGUAGAUCUUUUAGAUAUGACUUGCAUAUAAUUUACAAUUUUGUGGGUUUUGUGUGAUUGCUGCAAUAUGAAGGUAUGAUUUAAAUGUAUAUAUGCAAUGGAAUUCAUUCGAGUUUCUUGAUGAGAUGGAGAUUGAAAAAUGCACAAUCUGAAUAUACAUGAAUUGUUAAACUUUUGCUUGAUUUUCAUUGAUCGAUUGAUUGUUUUUCUCCUGGGCUCAGUUCGUUGAGACAAUGAUUCUUGUUAAAUAAUAAGGGAAAGGGAUAGAAAGGCUAGCGCAAGCAUUGAAAGUCUCAAAUUUCUUUAGUUGCAUGUGACCAGCAGAUCAUUAUCAUAUUUCAUCUGUUCCUCAAUUUUGCAUAUGUCAGUAUACAUUAUUUUUCCUUAUUUGUGUUUGAAGACUACACUGUGAUUCAUCUGCAUGUCUACUCAUCACCUUAUUAAUUGCUGAUCUCUUCUUAUUUUUGCCUCUAGAUUUUUUUCUUCUUUUGGUCGAAGCUGUAGAUUUUUGAAAAUUGUUGAUGAGUACUUGGUGGUUCUUCUUCUUCCAAGGCUUUUCUGAACCCAAGUGUUGAGAAAAACAAGAAGGGGCAAGAGACCUAGAAAGGGAGGCAACCGAUUCUGGAAGAGUAUUGGGCUGCGCACCAAGCCACACAGGGAUGCCUCUUGGGAAAAUCUAAUUAGCAGUCUUGAUGGGAAAAUCUGCCGUUCACUUUUUCAACUACAAACUGAAAGAAGCUUCUUGGGAAAGAGGAAGAAAUUGAGAAAGCCUCCGAAGGGGUAUGAAUUCGUUGGGUUAUUGCCAUGGAGAGAAUUUGUAAAAUAGAGGAGUACAGAACAAUGGCUGGUAUGAUGAGUUUAUAUAUGUAUAAGGCUCUCAUUUGUACAUUAUAUAUUGGAGUUACUUUUCUGAUUUGAA